rnacentral:lncRNA from 1 species
AGGACGACUAGGAAUCAACCAACAAGGAUUCCUCGUAAGUUUGUAUUUACUUGCAUGGUUGACUUAAAGGGCAAAAUACAGCUGUUACUUUGACAUGCGUUAACAAACUACCGCUGGUUUUUCUUACUAGAAACCUUUCUGGAGUGGAGCAAGCUGGUAGGGGAGCCGUGAAUCUGGAGGAUGACCAUCACUCUACCAACAAGGAUUACGUUGGGGCCAGACUUGCGCUGUUUGUUCCAGACCAGGACUCUGGCUGAGGAGAGCUGAUGGAGGAGCCAAGACUCUGGAGGACGACAUCACUCUACCAACAAAGAUCCUCACCAGGAAUCUGGAGGACUGACGGAGAAGCCGUACAUCCGGAAGGCAAAUCAUGAGGACAACCAGGACUCUCCAUCAAGGAUUCCUCGUAAGUUUGCAUUACAUAGUGGACUAGGUAGGGGUUGGGGGUUCAACUCUCAGACCAAUGGUGCCGGGUUCAAGUCCUCAGAAUACAGUGAUGCGUCCUUGAGCAAGGCGCCCUAAAGCCUGCCUGCUCCUUAAUGGCGUCUCUUUGGUUUAGAUAAUGUUGCAUCUUUUGAAUAUCGAACCUAAUCCAUGUCCUUGUCUGGUCCGGGCAGACACACCUGAGCUGAACCUCACCUGAUCCUGUUUGGUCGGGGGAAGACGCACCUGAGCUGAACCCACCUGAUCCUGACAUCCUGCUGGUCCCGUCUCCUCAGUUCAUCUGAGCCUCGUCCUCCAGAAGACCUGCUGAGCUCAGC